GGCAGUGUGGCCUAAUGGAAAGAUCCCAGACUUGGAAUCAGAUAAUCUGGGUUCUAAUCCCAGCUCUGUCA
rnacentral:tRNA from 1 species